UACGUAGGGUGCAAGCGUUAAUCGGAAUUACUGGGCGUAAAGCGUGCGCAGGCGGUUUUGUAAGUUUUGUCGUGAAAUCCCCCGGGCUCAACCUGGGAAUUGCGAUGAAGACUGCAAGGCUAGAAUCUGGCAGAGGGGGGUAGAAUUCCACGUGUAGCAGUGAAAUGCGUAGAGAUGUGGAGGAACACCGAUGGCGCAAGGCAGCCCCCUGGGUCAAGAUUGACGCUCAUGCACGAAAGCGUGGGGAGCAAACAGG
rnacentral:rRNA from 1 species